rnacentral:rRNA from 4 species
AAAUUGAAGAGUUUGAUCAUGGCUCAGAUUGAACGCUGGCGGCAGGCCUAACACAUGCAAGUCGAACGGUAGCACAGAGAGCUUGCUCUCGGGUGACGAGUGGCGGACGGGUGAGUAAUGUCUGGGAAACUGCCUGAUGGAGGGGGAUAACUACUGGAAACGGUGGCUAAUACCGCAUAACGUCGCAAG